GUGAAGCGGUAACAGCUCAAAUUUGAAAUCUGGCCUCACGGUCCGAGUUGUAAUUUGUAGAGGAUGCUUCGAGCAUGGUCUGGCCUAAGUUCCUUGGAACAGGACGUCAUAGAGGGUGAGAAUCCCGUAUGCGGUCAGGUGCCUACGCUCAUGUGAAGCUCCUUCGACGAGUCGAGUUGUUUGGGAAUGCAGCUCAAAAUGGGUGGUAAAUUUCAUCUAAAGCUAAAUAUUGGCCAGAGACCGAUAGCGCACAAGUAGAGUGAUCGAAAGAUGAAAAGCACUUUGGAAAGAGAGUUAAACAGUACGUGAAAUUGUUGAAAGGGAAGCGCUUGCAACCAGACUUGCGCGCGGCCGAUCAUCCGGUGUUCUCACCGGUGCACUCGGCCGUGCUCAGGCCAGCAUCGGUUUUGGCGGCUGGAUAAAGGCCCUAGGAAUGUAGCUCCUCUCGGGGAGUGUUAUAGCCUAGGGUGCAAUGCAGCCUGCUGGGACCGAGGACCGCGCUUCGGCUAGGAUGCUGGCGUAAUGGUUGUAAGCGGCCCGUCUUGAAACACGGACCAAGGAGUCUAACAUCUAUGCGAGUGUUUGGGUGUCAAACCCAUACGCGUAAUGAAAGUGAACGGAGGUGAGAACCCUUAAGGGUGCAUCAUCGACCGAUCCUGAUGUCUUCGGAAGGAUUUGAGUAAGAGCAUAGCUGUUGGGACCCGAAAGAUGGUGAACUAUGCCUGAAUAGGGUGAAGCCAGAGGAAACUCUGGUGGAGGCUCGCAGCGGUUCUGACGUGCAAAUCGAUCGUCAAAUUUGGGUAU
rnacentral:rRNA from 1 species